rnacentral:rRNA from 1 species
UACGUAGGGCGCAAGCGUUGUCCGGAAUUAUUGGGCGUAAAGAGCUCGUAGGCGGCUUGUCGCGUCGGUUGUGAAAGCCCGGGGCUUAACCCCGGGUCUGCAGUCGAUACGGGCAGGCUAGAGUUCGGUAGGGGAGAUCGGAAUUCCUGGUGUAGCGGUGAAAUGCGCAGAUAUCAGGAGGAACACCCGUGGCGAAAGCGGCUCUCUGGGGCGGUACUGACGCUGAGACGCGAAAGCGUGGGGAGCAAACAGG